AACGAACGCUGGCGGUGUGCUUAACACAUGCAAGUCGAACGGAGCGAUUCAUGUAGCAAUACAUGAGUUGUUUAGUGGCGGACGGGUGAGUAACGCGUAGGCGACCUGCCCUGAAGAGUGGGAUAACUAGGGGAAACCCUGGCUAAUACCGCAUAAGACCACGGAUUUGGAAAUCUGCGGUCAAAUGGAGGCAACUCCGCUUUGGGAUGGGCCUGCGUCCUAUCAGCUAGUUGGUGAGGUAGUGGCUCACCAAGGCUUAGACGGGUAGCCGGACUGAGAGGUUGAACGGCCAAACUGGAACUGAGACACGGUCCAGACUCCUACGGGAGGCAGCAGUGGGGAAUUUUGCGCAAUGGGGGAAACCCUGACGCAGCGACACCGCGUGAAGGAUGAAGGCCUUCGGGUUGUAAACUUCUUUAGUGCGGGAAGAAGCCGCAAGGUGACGGUACCGCAAGAAUAAGCCACGGCUAACUCCGUGCCAGCAGCCGCGGUAAGAC
rnacentral:rRNA from 1 species